rnacentral:rRNA from 1 species
GUUAGGAAUAUUGGACAAUGGGCGCAAGCCUGAUCCAGCCAUGCCGCGUGAGUGAUGAAGGCCUUCGGGUUGUAAAGCUCUUUAGCCGAUGAUUAUAAUGACUGUAGUCGGAAAAUAAGCCCCGGCUAACUUCGUGCCAGCAGCCGCGGUAAUACGAAGGGGGCGAGCGUUAUUCGGAAUCACUGGGCGUAAAGCGUGCGUAGGCGGCUUUGCAAGUUGGGAGUGAAAGCCCAGGGCUCAACCCUGGAAUUGCUCUCAAAACUGCAAGGCUGGAAUUCGGGAGAGGAUAGCGGAAUUGUCAGUGUAGCAGUGAAAUGCGUAGAUAUUGACAGGAACACCAGUGGCGUAAGCGGCUAUCUGGACCGAUAUUGACGCUGAGGCACGAAAGCGUGGGGAUCAAACAGGAUUAGAUACCCUGGUAGUCC